ACUUCUGGCACAGACAUCUGAGGGCAUGGCCGUCCAAGAAGAAAAUGUAGCCAUUGGUGCCAUCUAUCGACCACAGGUUAAAGAUUGGCGAUCCGUUUGAUACCAACAGAGUUAUAGCCAAAACUUGGUGCAAAAAUGAGGAAAAUUUUACAUUUUCUCAAACAGGGUAUGGAACUUGGUUCCUCGAAUAACUUCUGACACAGACAUCUGAGGGCAUGGCCGUCCAAGAAGAAAAUGUAGCCAUUGAUGCCAUCUAUCGACCACAGGUUAAAGAUUGGCGAUCCGUUAGAUACCAACAGAGUUAUAGGCAAAACUUGGUGCAAAAAUGAGGAAAAUUUUACAUUUUCUCAAACAGGGUAUGGAACUUGGUUCCUCGAAUAACUUCUGGCACAGACAUCUGAGGGCAUAGCCGUCCAAGAAGAAAAUGUAGCCCUUGAUGCCAUCUAUCGACUACAGGUUAAAGAUUGGCGAUCCGUUGGAUAACGACCGAAUUAUAGCCAAAACUUGGUGCAAAAAUGAGCCUUAUGAAAUUUUCAAAUGUUUAGAAUUUUUUUAAUUUUCUUAAAUUUUUUAUUCUUUAUUUUAUUUAAAACAUUAUUUGAGUGAAAAGAAACUUAUUUCAACCGAUUGGCAUUAAAAUAAAUCAAUUUAAUUUUUUUUGCAAAAUUUCUCAAAAAAAUGGCAAGGGGUACCCCUUGUGAAAUUUUCGAGUUGAAAUUUUAAAAAAAUUUUUCUUUUGAUUUUUUAUUCUUUUUUGUGUUUAAAGCAUUAUUUAAGUGAAAAGAAACUUAUUGCAACAAAUUCGCAUUAAAAUAUAUCAUAUUUAUAAAUUUUGCUAAAUUGCUGAAAAAUGAGGAAAAUUUUACAUUUUCUCAAACAGGGUAUGGAACUUGGUUCCUCGAAUAACUUCUGGCACAGACAUCUGAGGGCAUGGCCGUCCAAGAAGAAAAUGUAGCCAUUGGUGCCAUCUAUCGACCACAGGUUAAAGAUUGGCGAUCCGUUAGAUACCAACAGAGUUAUAGCCAAAACUUGGUGCAAAAAUGAGGAAAAUUUUACAUUUUCUCAAACAGGGUAUGGAACUUGGUUCCUCGAAUAACUUCUGGCACAGACAUCUGAGGGCAUGGCCGUCCAAGAAGAAAAUGUAGCCGUUGAUGCCAUCUAUCGACCACAGGCUAAAGAUUGGCGAUCCGUUGGAUACCGACCGAGAUAUAGGCAAAACUUGGUGCAAAAAUGAGCCUUAUGAAAUUUUCAAAUGUUUAGAAUUUUUUAAUUUUCUUAAAUUUUUUAUUCUUUUUUUUAUUAAAAACAUUAUUUGAGUGAAAAGAAACUUAUUUCAACCGAUUGGCAUUAAAAUAAAUCAAUUUAAUUUUUUUUGCAAAAUUUCUCAAAAAAAUGGCAAGGGGUACCCCUUGUGAAAUUUUCGAGUUGAAAUUAAAAAAAAAAAAUUUUUUUGUUUUUUUAUUCUUUUUUGUGUUUAAAGCAUUAUUUAAGUGAAAAGAAACUUAUUGCAACAAAUUCGCAUUAAAAUAUAUCAUAUUUAUAAAUUUUGCUAAAUUGCUGAAAAAUGAGGAAAAUUUUACAUUUUCUCAAACAGGGUAUGGAACUUGGUUCCUCGA